CCCCAGGCGCGGACUCGGGCUCCCGCCCCGCCAAGACCCCUCGGACCUCUCCCGAAGGGCGAUCUGCGAGCGAAUUCUUGGAAACUCCAGCAGGAGCCGCGCCGCCAGAUCCUUUAUCCCGGGCGCAGCGGCAGGACGGGACCGGGAGAGGGGAACCCGGGCGCGCGGCGGCCGCAGCCCGCCAGGUCUGGAGCCUCGCCUCUCCCAACCUCAGUUUCCCCGUCUGCCUUGAGCCCCGGCGUGGGCGUGCGGGUGGCGUGGGGAGGUCCUGCAGCUUUUCUUAACGCCGCCCAGCCUCAAGCCCAUAUCUCUGAAAUGGGCUGAUAAGCCAGCCUCAGCCUGGGGGUUAAAUAAGGUAUAACUUCUCGUGCCCUAAAGCGAAAGGCAGGAAGGAACCCCUGCAUGAAUGGAACCCUUUCGUGAACACGAUGAUGAAUGUCUCCAUCGAAUCAAGAUUAUAAUACAAACAGGGUAAUAACAAUAAUUAUGCCUUUUUUCUCUGGGUUUUCCUGUUAUAAAAACAGCUGUGAUAAGGUACCUUUGCUGAGCACGUGGGCUGUGCCAGUCAUUAAUCCUCUAAUUUCACAGCCCCCUGCCCCCUCCCUGGCCCCCUGAGGUUGUCACUAGGAGAGGCCCACGGCACACACUGGGAAACCGAGUCUCCCCGAGGUUGAAUACGUUGCCAGAGGUCAAGGAGCUGGUAAGCGCAGAAUAAGGAUUAUGCCAAAACCCUUUAGGACACUUUUAUAGCUCUUUUUUUACCCCCUUUGGCUGGAUGCAUGGAUGAAUGAAAGGUCAUCCUUUCCUGUAACUGAAUAAGCCUCCGGGAGGUACCUACCCAUGGCUGAGUCCAGAAAACCCCAAGCUGAAAGGCGAGGAUGCAAGAGAGCUUAGGUUCCCAGAAGAAGGGAACAAACACAGAGACUCCCCGUGUAGACAAAGGAUUCAGAGCGGAGUAAAGAAGAGAAAGCAGGUUUGGGGUCAUCUUCUGGGAAGUCAUACGCGCUGAAUCUUACAUCGUGGCGGAAGGCACGGGUCAGAGCACCAGCCCGCACUAGCCAGGAAGCCUGGUGGGCGAUGUUUGAAAAGCACCCAAUACGUAGAUCUUUUUUUUUUCCCCUGGAUCGUUUGUAGGUAAGUUCUGUACCCCAUCGCCCCUUCUUUCGUAAGAGUAGAGAUAUUAUACGUAACCACAGUGCACUCACCAAAUUUGUACAUUGAUACAAAAUAUGUGUGUCUCCUCUUGGUCAGUAUUCCAUCCCUGCCAGUUGAUCUGACCAUGUCCUUUAUUGCAUUUCUUUCCCCACCAUCACAAGAUCCCCCCAGGGUCAGGUUAGGGGUCUCAGAACAUCUGGGUAUUCAAACAUUACCCUUCAGUGAGAAGGGAUGAAAAUAAACGUCCGCUAGUGUCAUGCCAACAUGGAUCCGAGAAUUCCUCGGCCAGGCCCUCAUUCUCCACAUUUCCCGGCUCUGCCGAGACACCCGUGCAGGCCUGUCUCCCUUCUGGGCAGGGGCCACCCAGCACCAUGUGAUCCAAGGUCACGGACGUGUCACUCUGCUGGUGGCUGUGGCUACAGCUGUGCCCUGUGCCGUGAUCCGAGCCAGACAGUCCUGUGGGCGGACUGCACCUUGGAGCCAUCGCCAGCUGCAGGUUCCAAAUGUCCCCUGGCCACGUGCUCCCGCCCACGGGGUUGGAAGCCGCUGUGCAGGGCCACCACGCAGUGUGUGGGUGGCCCUGGAGAAGCAGCCCCCUUACCAGGGGCAAGGCUGUGUGCCUUGGUGCUCAAAAGCUUCACCAAGGGAAAUGCACUGUUUACCCUGAGCGGUCAGGACCAAAAGCAAGAUUUCGCGAUAGUGAGGAAUUCAGGGACCCAAAUACGAGCAAGAAGGCCCUUUCAUCUGACCGUAGAGAAUCUGCUAGACUCUAAAGACGAUUAGUAACGACUGACUGUCACCACGUGCUCCUCACGGGUGUCAUCGCAGCAGGGGGAGUGCCUGGCGCCGAGUGAGCGGGCACUCCGUGAGAUCAGCCAGGCCUGGGAAGUCGUAUCACGCCAAUGAGUUUAUCAGCAGAGCAAGUGAACGGAGGAUGUGAAUGAUGGGCCCUGGAGCCCCGGCUCUGUCUCAGACCUUAUAACACCCUCGAUGAAGGAGAAGGGAGAAGGCGAAGGGGUCCCCGGACAGCCUGAACCCGCUCCGGCGGGUGAGGCCAGGCCUGCAGCCCCGCCAUGCACAGGAGGGCAUGCCUGGAAGGCAGCGGUGAGCAGCACUAGGGGCGGGGAUUGAUCUGCGGUCCUAACACAGUCUCAAGAUGCCCUGGGCCUACCCUGCCACCCUCCGGAGUUCAUGCCUCCGGGCUCAAUCUGCAUUUUUUAAGAUGCCCCCCGACGAUUCCCAUGUGCACCGGUAUUCCAAACGGGGUGAUUCUUUGAGUCUCCUAAACAGGGAAGUACGGGCUGCCCCCGGCAUACAGAGGUGGGGAGACUGGCGGCAUUCCGGGAGGGCCUCCUGGUGGCAGCAACACCUCAGUGGGGUCCUGGAGUAUCCAGGGUGGUCAGUUCCACCAAGAGGGGGCCAAAGAAGGCCUGACAGAUUGAGAGAGACUUCAGGGCUCACCGAAGCCAAGAAAGAAUUUACCACAUGGCUAUAGUUCAUCGUAGCAUGCUGGGGCCGGAGGACAGGGCGGGGGCUCAGAAGGCUUGAUAAAAGGCCAGGAUGGAACCAUAGAAGGGACUUCUCUCACGUUCAGGCAUUUCUACAUUAUCCCAAGGGAGAUGGGGAGGUCCGAUCUGUCGGUCACGGGGCCUACGGACACGAUUUACACCCCGCCGAGAGGCGUUGCCCGUGGUCCCCCAAGAUCCCCGUGUUGCCUUGGUCCCCACACAGCAGUUGAUUUGCUGGGGGAUGACCCCUGGCCAAGGUGUGGUGCAUUUGCCAGAGGGCGGAAGGAUGGGCCAGUCAGACGCCGGCACCUGGGCUGGGGAGAGGGUCUGGACAAGGAGGCCAGGCGAGGCCCAGCAUGAGAGCAAAAGUCAGCCCCAGACGGGUGCCCUCCAUCCCGUGUCUCCGUGAGCCUGGGUUACACAAUCCGUUUCCAGUUUCCACCGAAAUCCAUUUCUCUUACGAUGUCUUCCCAUAAACUCGCCUUUUCCCGAGGAAGCUGGAAUCAGAAUGGCUUCACCGCCAGGAGCUCACUGGGGGACCCUUUUUCUGUCUGGUUUACGGAGGUCAAGAAAAUUCACCUUGUGUGGCGGUUGGUGAAGGUGUGCAGCUGCGUUGCCAGGACAUCGGUGUCCCCUGUCCCACUGGGUGACCUGAAGGAGUUGGAACAGCCCAGGUGUGUUACAGAAAACUCGACCUGGCUUCACCGUGGAGCCAGGCGACCGGCUGGGGACUUCUGCUGGUGGGGACAACGCCACCGAGGAUUCCGUGACUGGCGCAACUUGCGUGAUGUGUGACGAGCUCAGUCAGUGGAGGUCUUCCAGGCAGCCUCUCAACGUCGGUGUUUAAAUUGCUAAAACCAGAACCUGCUUCAGUUCACCAGCCCACGUUCUUUAAGAGGAUUACUCUGCCUGCAAGUGGUGUGAGACCACGCAGAGAGCAGACCAGCUGGUCCUGGACAACUUGAGGAAGAUCUCGCAGCCAGCCCUUGUGGUGACCGGAAGCCCAGUCCAGCGAGCCCCAUUUCUGAAGCAGCUCGUUCAUCAUAGACGGGCCGUAGCUGUGUGAUGCAGACCUCACGUGACAACCAUGCCAGGCACUUCGUGUAUAUGCACAUCCUCCAGUGAACCCGAGCAACGCGUUUUCAGAUAAAUAUUAUCAUCCCAGUCUUACAGUGCAGAGAGUGACCUCAGGGGAGCUAGGGGACUUCUCAAGGUCACUUGGCCAGUAAGUGACGGGGCUGAGGUUUGCAGCCACAUCUGUCUGACCCAAGACCAUUGUCUUCCACCUUCCCUGGGUGCCUCUGCCGUCAUUUCUUGUCAUAUUAUGAUUUCCCAUGUAACCGGUGAUUUAAAUGUGUGACCUACUGGGAUUUCUAUGCGCAAAAUUCUGCAAUUAGAUUUCACUAUGGUGAACUUCUCGCCCUUCAGGAAAGGGGCUCUCAUUUUUGGGGGGGAUCAUAAAAUGUAAUCUUGUGGUGGGAAUAGCUCAGUGGUAGAGCACGUGCUUAGCAUGCAUGAGGUCCUGGGUUCAAUCCCCAGUGCCUCCAAAAAAGAAAAAAGAAAAAUGUGAUCUCACUUCCCCGUGGCUUUGAGUCCAGCGUGAAGGACGGUAUUACAUCCUUUGUUUAUUCAAGAUAGGAAUUUUGACCUGCAACCUUGCCCCCACCUCCGCCGGCUUUUAGGGAGCUUGAGGACUUGGUUUGGAUGCUAGCUUGGGAAUCCAGACCGUCUGAGGCCAGGGACACCCACAGGAUGGGCAGACCCAGAACAGGCAGUGGGAGGAGCUGUUCCUAGAGAGCAAAUGCAGGCGGGCAGUGUAUCCACAAAGCCCACGAGUGGGGGACCCUCCUGACGGUGAGAUGCCCGGUGGCAUCUGAACGUCCAUCGUAGGGCAAGUGGAUGGAGGUGGCUUCACGGUGCGGUCAGGGGCAGAUGUCCACGGCAGGUCCUCGGUGCCCAGGCAAGGACCAUACCCGGCUGCUGUCCAGCAGGGAGUGCGUCAGAGGUCAAGAGCUGUGGACAGGACCAUGUGGAUGCCCCACAGCCAGGACGGGGACACAAGUCUACGCGGGACCUGCCCCCUGAGCACCUCUGUGAGGCCCAUUCAGGUGUCCCUUAGGACAAGCCCCACGAGGCUCAGCUUCGGCAAGGGUCUUCACGGGACGGGAGGUGGAGUCCGGGAAGCAGCUCUAAAAUCCCGGACUGCGAGCCUCAGGGCCAGUGGCUUUGGACUAUGUUUUAAGCAUGUAAACACGACGUGCACUUAACCGACGCCGAUGAAGACAUGACUCUCAUGGGGAGGUUGUAGCUCGGUGGUAGAGCGUGUGCUUAGCAUGUACAAGGUCCUGGGUUCAAUCCCCAGUCCCUCCACCAAAAACAUAAAAAAAUAAAUUAAAAAAGAGAGUUGAUUCCCCGCAAACACCAUGAGAAAUGCAAGGAACUGGAAAGGUGGUUCAGGUGAUGAUGCCAUGGGCCAUCUCAGAGGCUUCCUUAGCGUGGGGGGUGGAAUGGAGGCCAGUGGGAUGCCCAGAGCAGAGAUGUCCAUCCCAGGAGCACCCCUCACAGCGAGGCCACGCAAGCUACCAAGCUGCCCGGGGACCCCAAGGUUCCAGGGAGACCUGAGGCUCCCUCCCUGCCCAUCACACCGACUGCUGAGGACUUUCUGGGGAGUCAUCCCGUCACCUGCAGAGUCCGCUGUCACAGUGCCCCGGGUGGGCGCAGCAGAGGGACAACUAACACUGAGCAGGACCCCGGGAGGCCCUCCUGGGUCAGACCCCUCCCUGUGUCCUCCCCUGCAGCUCCUCUCUGAAGGGCCCAGCUCAUAGCAUCUCACGUAUAUUUCCUGAGUGUUUCAGAUGCUCAAAACCACCACCAAAGAGAAGAAAUUAACUACUUGAUGAUGGAGAGCAUGUGGCCCCUGGACCUUCUGGUGCCUGGGGGGUUGAUGGUGUUGACCGUCCUGUUACCCCAACAUCAGCCAGUCAGAGGCUUGUGCACGAGCUCAUCACGUACCCUGAGACCCCUGUCCCUCAGCUGACCUUUAAAUAUGCUUUGCUGAAACCCUUUGCAGAGUUCGGGGUUUUGGGGGGCAGAAGCCUCCUCGCUCAGCCCUGCAAUAAAACUUUCGCUGCUCCAACCUCCUACA